rnacentral:rRNA from 1 species
UGCCAGCCGCCGCGGUAAUACAGAGGGCUCAAGCGUUAAUCGGAAUCACUGGGCUUAAAGGGUCCGCAGGCGGAUCGGUAAGUAUCUUGUGAAAUACCAUGGCUCAACCAUGGAAUUGCUCGGUAAACUGCCAAUCUUGAACAUAGUAGGGGCCAUCGGAACUCUAGGUGGAGCGGUGAAAUGCGUAGAUAUCUAGAGGAACGCCAAAGGCGAAGGCAGAUGGCUGGGCUAUUGUUGACGCUCAGGGACGAAAGCAUGGGUAGCGAACGGGAUUAGAUA